AGGCUGAGAUGUUUUCUGGAAUCAGACAGUGUGUUUAACAGUGAAAUGAAAAUGUGGAAUAAAGCAGAAGGAGUGACUAAAACUGAACAGUUAAAGAUACAUCUACAGAAAUAAACAAAGCAAUAAAGAAAGAGGGCAAGGCCACAAACAGGCAGCAGCCAUUUCUUCUUCAUGGUUUCUUCAAGAGCUGCUCUGAAGCUCACAAGCUGUCACCAUCUUGGCAGCACCUGACCCAGUCUUAGUCACGACUCACGGACAGAGUGAGAGGAGCUGAGGCGGCUAGGUGAAACCUGGGCAGACAGUUGGUAAUCUAUGAAGGAAUCCAACUGUCACUCAACACUGAUGAACACAGCUGCUGCUAAACAAGAGAACAAGAAGCACUUCAGGACAACUGGAGUAUCAGAGGAUCAUAAUGAUGAUGAUGUUGAUGAUGAUGAUGAUGAUGAUGAUGAUGAUGAUGAU